GGGUGUGGCUCAUGGUGGUUAAGCUAGUGGCUAUCUCAUUGCUUAUGAGAAUUUCACAUUCAUACUCUUCAGAAAGGUUUUCUCGUAUUUGGCAUCCAACCUGAAUGACAUCUAGAAUGGUUAAUAAUUUCUUCAUGCCUUGCUUAGCUUCUUCCUGAUUCCCAAACUAACGACACAAAGGCAAGGAAAAGAGGUUCAAAGAAUAUUGAUAGUCGCGGCAAAGGUUGAGGUCUCAAGAAUCUUCCCCUAAUCUCAUCUACUCUAUGGUUGUCCUAUAUUCAUGUAUAUCAAGAAAAGCUAAAAGAUAGACACCCAUUCACUUGUCUUAGUGUACAUAAAGUCAAAUUAUUCGAUCUGACAUUCUUCCAUUUCCUAAAGUCCUAAAAACAAGGUGCGUGCAGACGCGAGGUUCUAAUUGAUCAGUAGUUGAAGGAGAGAAAGUAGCUUAUUUCUAAGAAAUUCUUAUUACUAUGGUAUGAUGAACAAGUAAGAAGGAGGGAAGGAAAAAGUCCCAACAAAA